rnacentral:rRNA from 2 species
CUACCAUGCAGUCGAGCGGUAGAGAGAAGCUUGCUUCUCUUGAGAGCGGCGGACGGGUGAGUAAUGCCUAUGAAUCUGCCUGGUAGUGGGGGAUAACGUUCGGAAACGGACGCUAAUACCGCAUACGUCCUAUGGGAGAAAGCAGGGGACCUUCGGGCCUUGCGCUAUCAGAUGAGCCUAGGUCGGAUUAGCUAGUUGGUGAGGUAAUGGCUCACCAAGGCUACGAUCCGUAACUGGUCUGAGAGGAUGCCCGGCCCCACCUGGGGACUGAGCCCCGGCCCCAGAUUCCUUACGGAAGGCAGCCAGUGGGGAAUAUUGCCCCAAUGGGCGAAAACCCUGAUGCAAGGACGCCGCGUGAGGGAUGACGGCCUUCGGGGUUGUAAACCUUCUUUCAGUAGGGAAGAAGCGAAAGUACCUAAUACGUGAUUGUUUUGACGGUACCUGCAGAAGAAGCGCCGGCUAACUACGUGCCAGCAGCCGCGGUAAUACGUAGGGCGCAAGCGUUAUCCGGAAUUAUUGGGCGUAAAGAGCUCGUAGGCGGUUUGUCGCGUCUGCUGUGAAAGACCGGGGCUCAACUCCGGUUCUGCAGUGGGUACGGGCAGACUAGAGUGCAGUAGGGGAGACUGGAAUUCCUGGUGUAGCGGUGAAAUGCGCAGAUAUCAGGAGGAACACCGAUGGCGAAGGCAGGUCUCUGGGCUGUAACUGACGCUGAGGAGCGAAAGCAUGGGGAGCGAACAGGAUUAGAUACCCUGGUAGUCCAUGCCGUAAACGUUGGGCACUAGGUGUGGGGGACAUUCCACGUUUUCCGCGCCGUAGCUAACGCAUUAAGUGCCCCGCCUGGGGAGUACGGCCGCAAGGCUAAAACUCAAAGGAAUUGACGGGGGCCCGCACAAGCGGCGGAGCAUGCGGAUUAAUUCGAUGCAACGCGAAGAACCUUACCAAGGCUUGACAUGAACCGGAAAGACCUGGAAACAGGUGCCCCGCUUGCGGUCGGUUUACAGGUGGUGCAUGGUUGUCGUCAGCUCGUGUCGUGAGAUGUUGGGUUAAGUCCCGCAACGAGCGCAACCCUCGUUCUAUGUUGCCAGCGCGUUAUGGCGGGGACUCAUAGGAGACUGCCGGGGUCAACUCGGAGGAAGGUGGGGACGACGUCAAAUCAUCAUGCCCCUUAUGUCUUGGGCUUCACGCAUGCUACAAUGGCCGGUACAAAGGGUUGCGAUACUGUGAGGUGGAGCUAAUCCCAAAAAGCCGGUCUCAGUUCGGAUUGGGGUCUGCAACUCGACCCCAUGAAGUCGGAGUCGCUAGUAAUCGCAGAUCAGCAACGCUGCGGUGAAUACGUUCCCGGGCCUUGUACACACCGCCCGUCAAGUCACGAAAGUUGGUAACACCCGAAGCCGGUGGCCUAACCCUUGUGGGGGAGCCGUCGAAGG